rnacentral:rRNA from 1 species
CCUGGUUGAUCCUGCCAGUAUUCAUAUACUUGUCUCAAAGAUUAAGCCAUGCAUGUCUAAGUAUGAACUAAUUCAGACUGUGAAACUGUGGAUCGCUCAUUAAAUCAGCUAUAGUUUUCUUGAUGGUACCAUACUACUCAGAUAACCGUAGUAAUUAUAGAGCUAAUACGUGCACAAGUGCCGACUCUUUGGAAGGGAUGCAAUUUUUAGAUAAAAUGCCAGCGCGGGCUUGCCCGCUUCUCUGGUGAAUCAUGAUAACUCGACGGAUCGCACAGCCCUUGUGCUAGAAAUGCUUCAUUCAAAUUUCUACCCUAUCAAAUUUCGAUGGUAGGAUAGAUGCCUACCAUGGUGAUGACGGGUGACAGAGAAUUAGGGUUCAAUUCCAGAGAGGGAGCCUGAGAAACGGCUGCCACAUCCAAGGAAGGCAGCAGGCAUGCAAAUUACCUAAUCCUGACAUGGGGAGGUAGUAAUAAUAAAUAACAAUAUUGGGCUCAUCGAGUCUGGCAAUUGGAAUGAGUACAAUAUAAAUCCCUUAACGAGGAUCCAUUGGAGGGCCAGUCUGGUGCUAGCAGUCGCAGUAAUUCUAGCUCCAAUAGCAUAUAUUUAAGUUGUUGCAGUUAAAAAGCUUGUAGUUGGAUCUUGGGUCGUAAAGGUCGGUCUGCCUACUCGGUGUGAACCUUCCCUUCCAUCCCUUUUGUUAACGGCGUGAUCCUGGCCUUAAUUGGUUAGGUCACGGCUCCAGCGCUGCUACUUUGAAAAAAUUAGAGUGCUCAAAGCAAGCUUAUGCUCUGAAUACAUUAGCAUGGAAUAAUGUGAUAGGAGUCUGGUCCUAUUGUGUUGGCCUUAGGGACUGGAGUAAUGAUAUAUAGGGACUAUCGGGGAGAUUCGUAUUUCAUUUUCAGAGGUGAAAUUCUUGGAUUUAUGAAAGACGGACCACUGCGAAAGCAUUUGCCAAGGAUGUUUUCAUUAAUCAAGAAUGAAAGUUUGGGGCUUGAAGAUGAUUAGAUACCGUCCUAGUCUCAACCAUAAACGAUGCCAACUAGGGAUCGGCAGAUGUUGCUCUAAGGACCCCGCCAGCACCUUAUGAGAAAUCAGAGUGUUUGGGUUCCAGGGGGAGUGUGGUCAUAAGGAUGAAACUUAAAGGAAUUGAUGGAAGGGCACCACCAGGAGUGGAUCUUGCAGCUUAAUUUGACUCAACAUGGGGAAACUUACUAGGUCCAGACAUAGUAAGGAUUGACAGAUUGAGAGCUCUUUCUUGAUUCUAUGGGUGGUGGUGCAUGGUCGUUCUUAGUUGGUGGAGCGAUUUGUCUGGUUAAUUCUGAUAACAAAUGAGACCUCAACCUGCUAACUAGCUACGUGGAGAUUCCCCUUCACGGACAGCUUCUUAGAGGGACUAUGGCCAUUUAGGCCAUGGAAGUUUGAGGCUAUAAUAGGUCUAUGAUGCCCUUAGAUGUUCUAGGCUAAACAUGCGCUACACUAAUGCAACCAAUGAGUUUUUCUUCCUGGUUCAAGAGGAUUAAGAAAUCUUCUCAAAUUGCAUCAUGAUGGGGAUAGACCAUUGCAAUUAUUGGUAUUCAACGAGGAAUUCCUAAUAAGCAUGUGUCAUCAACUCCUACCGAUUGAAUUAUCCGGUGAAGUGUUCAGAUUGCGUCGACGAUGGUGGUUCACUGCCGUCAACGUCAUGAGAAUUUCAUUGAACCCUAUCAUUUAGAGGAAGGAGAAGUCGUAACAAGGUUACCAUAGGUGAACCUGUGAUAG